rnacentral:lncRNA from 1 species
CUGCUGAAGUUCUAGAACCUAGGUGAGGUUUGGUUGGCUGAGGUCCGGAGCCGAUGACCAAGAAAGAAUUCUUGAGACAUCUUUGGUGCAAAAUGGUGGUUUAUUAAAGCAUGGGGACAGGACCCGUGGGCAGGAAGAGCUGCCACCCCGGGUUGUGAAGGAUGGCAGGUUAUGUAGCCUGCGGUUGGGGGAAGGGAGCAUCACAGGGAGAAGAAAAGCAUAAACUGCCCCUACCCAAAGAAAAAGUAAAAGUAAUUUAGAAGAAGAAAACCCAGUUCAUUAAAGGUGAGUGGCUAGGACUUGUUAAUUUUGAUUAUCAUCUGGGUUUUGGCAAUUUCCCAUGACUGCUGACUUC